rnacentral:rRNA from 1 species
GACGAACGCUGGCGGCGCGCUUAACACAUGCAAGUCGAGCGAUGAAAUCUUAACAGAACCCUUCGGGGCGAAGAUAAGACGGAUUAGCGGCGGACGGGUGAGUAACACGUGAGUAACCUGCCUUUUACACAGGGAUAGCCUCGGGAAACCGGGAUUAAAACCUGAUGAAACUAUCAAAUCACAUGAUUAAGAAAGUUAAAACUCCGGUGGUAAAAGAUGGACUCGCGUCCCAUUAGCUAGUUGGUGAAGGUAACGGCCCACCAAGGCAACGAUGGGUAGCCGACCUGAGAGGGUGAACGGCCACAUUGGAACUGAGAAACGGUCCAAACUCCUACGGGAGGCAGCAGUGGGGAAUAUUGCACAAUGGAGGGAACUCUGAUGCAGCGACGCCGCGUGAACGAAGAAGGCUUUCGAGUCGUAAAGUUCUUUUAUGUGGGAAGA